rnacentral:rRNA from 1 species
UAGUCUACGCCGUAAACGAUGGAUACUAGUUGUUUGGUUUUCGGACUGAGUGACUAAGCGAAAGUGAUAAGUAUCCCACCUGGGGAGUACGUUCGCAAGAAUGAAACUCGAAGGAAUUGACGGGGGCCCGCACAAGCGGUGGAGCAUGUGGUUUAAUUCGAUGAUACGCGAGGAACCUUACCAGGGCUUAAAUGUAGUAUGACAGGACUAGAGAUAGUUUUUCUUCGGACAUAUUACAAGGUGCUGCAUGGUUGUCGUCAGCUCGUGCCGUGAGGUGUCAGGUUAAGUCCUAUAACGAGCGCAACCCCUGUGGUUAGUUGCCAGCGAGUAAUGUCGGGAACUCUAGCCAGACUGCCGGUGCAAACCGUGAGGAAGGUGGGGAUGACGUCAAAUCAUCACGGGCCCUUACGUCCUGGGGCCACGACACGUGCUACAAUGGGUAGGGGACAGAGAGCAGCCACUUAGCGAUAAGGGA